rnacentral:rRNA from 1 species
GACGAAGGUGGCGAGCGUUGUUCGGAAUCACUGGGCAUAAAGCGCACGUAGGCGGCGACGUAAGUCGGGUGUGAAAUCCCUCGGCCCAACCGAGGAACUGCGCCCGAUACUGCGUUGCUUGAGGAUCAGAGGGGUGCACGGAAUUUCCGGUGGAGCGGUGAAAUGCGUUGAUAUCGGAAGGAACGUCGGCGGCGAAAGCGGUGCACUGGCUGAUUUCUGACGCUGAGGUGCGAAAGCCAGGGGAGCAAACGGG